UCCCAAUGGUCGCUUCUCUCUGAAAAUGCC
rnacentral:piRNA from 1 species